rnacentral:SRP_RNA from 11 species
CGCCCGUGUGUAACCCGAGCGGGGGCUGGUCGGUGGAGAUCUGUGCUUGUACGGCAUCUCCCAUCCGCUGGUCGAUCGGUGUCCUUGUGAAGGUGGCUGUGGCCGUUGUGGGCUCGUGUAGGCGAGCCUUCACUGGCCUUGAAGACGGGGGCAACGCGUGAGGCUCUCAAGAGAGCAGCGAAAACCCGGCGCAGCCAUUAGUCACAGGACAGCACUGUGAAAGCGG